rnacentral:rRNA from 1 species
CGGCACCGGGCAGGCGUCACACCCUAUACGUCCACUUUCGUGUUUGCAGAGUGCUGUGUUUUUAUUAAACAGUCGCAGCCACCAGUUUAUUGCAACCCCUUCACCCUUCCGGCGCAGGCCGGUCAAGCUACCAGGGCGUACCUUAUCCCGAAGUUACGGUACCAGUUUGCCGAGUUCCUUCUCCCGAGUUCUCUCAAGCGCCUUAGAAUACUCAUCUCGCCCACCUGUGUCGGUUUGCGGUACGGUCAACGUGAAACUGAAGCUUAGAGGCUUUUCCUGGAACCCCUUCCAGUUGCUUCGCAGCCGAGGCCGCUCGCGCCACACCCUUGAAUUGCGUGCCCGGAUUUGCCAGGGCACCUUCUCCAAUGCAGCGACCGGGACUUCCAACACCCGGACAACCUUCCGCGAUCCGUCCCCCCAUCGCAUUUCACGCCGGUGCAGGAAUCUUGACCUGCUUCCCAUCAGCUACGCAUUUCUGCCUCGCCUUAGGGGCCGACUCACU